rnacentral:misc_RNA from 1 species
GGCAUACUUAGAUAUUCUUACAAGUAUGUAAAUCUCUAAAUUUUAAGCAAAAUUUUUGUUAUAUAUCAGUUUAUGUUUGUGUUGUCAUGUGGCUUAAGUCUUCCUUUGCUGGAUUCUUAUGUUGACAAUAACCAUGUGCAGAUCUAUUAUUUUAAAUUAAUUUCCUGUAGAAAAACCAUGCUUUGGUGUUAAAAAGUAUUAGAUAUGCAUUGGAAAAAUAGAGCUCGAACCAUUUCACUUCAGUCACAUAUGUUUAUUCCAUUUUUCUUUGGUCUCAAUGACAACAUGUGAACAAAUUGACCAUGGAAACUUUAUUAAGAGUAUAAAGUUUAACUGCACAGCAUUUGUUUUGGAAAAAUAGAAUUUAUAUCCUUUUGUUAGCUGUUGUGCCACUGGUUGUCGGGGGGAAUGAUCUCAUGGUUUUUCAAAAUCUAUGCAAUUUAGUUUGUGUAGUAUGUUGCCAAAUGUGGAACAAUAUAAAACACAGAAUCAGAACUCUUAAAGUGCUUUUGGCAGAUUGGUAAUACUUGGAAUUUGCUUCAUAAUCAAUCUAGCACUUGGCCGCCAGUCACUCUAAUGGUUCACAAAAGAUGAGUGGUGGAAAAGGAAGCUGCAAUUAUCAUGAAGUUAGCAUGGUUCUGAAUAUUUUGUGUUGGUGGA